UACGUAGGGUGCGAGCGUUGUCCGGAAUUACUGGGCGUAAAGAGCUCGUAGGUGGUUUGUCGCGUUGUUCGUGAAAUCUCACGGCUUAACUGUGAGCGUGCGGGCGAUACGGGCAGACUAGAGUACUGCAGGGGAGACUGGAAUUCCUGGUGUAGCGGUGGAAUGCGCAGAUAUCAGGAGGAACACCGGUGGCGAAGGCGGUUCUCUGGGCAUUACCUGACGCUGAGGAGCGAAAGUGUGGGGAGCGAACAGG
rnacentral:rRNA from 1 species